rnacentral:rRNA from 1 species
CCUACGGGAGGCAGCAGUGGGGAAUAUUGCACAAUGGGGGAAACCCUGAUGCAGCGACGCCGCGUGAGUGAAGAAGUAUUUCGGUACGUAAAGCUCUAUCAGCAGGGAAGAAAAUGACGGUACCUGAAUAAGAAGCCCCGGCUAACUACGGUCCAGCAGCCGCGGUAAUACGUAGGGGGCAAGCGUUAUCCGGAUUUACUGGGUGUAAAGGGAGCGUAGACGGCAGCGCAAGUCUGGAGUGAAAUCCCAUGGCUUAACCAUGGAACUGCUUUGGAAACUGUGCAGCUAGAGUGCAGGAGAGGUAAGCGGAAUUCCUAGUGUAGCGGUGAAAUGCGUAGAUAUUAGGAGGAACACCAGUGGCGAAGGCGGCUUACUGGGCUGUAACUGACGUUGAGGCUCGAAAGCGUGGGGAGCAAACAGGAUUAGAUACCCGAGUAGUC